rnacentral:rRNA from 1 species
ACCUGCCUGUGAGGACGACAAACUGGCUCCUUCGAUGAAGAACGCAGCG